UUAGUUGUUCAUCCUUCUGCGUCCGAAUCCACACCUAUAAUCCUUAAUUGAGAUUUAGGAUGACAAGCAUGCAACUGGUUAAUGUGAACCCACUUUUCAAUAAAAUCACCAUCCUUAGGAAUUUUUAUCUUAUACGUUACGGGGAAAUUUUGUCAAUAAUGACAUAUGGCCCUUUCCAAGAAGGUAAAAAUGAAUUUUCCUUAACCCCUUAAGGAC